rnacentral:tRNA from 1 species
ACCUGGGUGGCUCAGUCGGUUGAGUGUCCGACUUUGGCUCAGAUCAUGAUCUCAUGGUUUGUGGGUUCGAGCCCCACAUCAGGCU